UCAAACAUAGGCUUGCUAUUUGCGACUGUCAUUAGAUUAUACUUUAUUUUUUAGAAGAAAAAUUUUAAUUGAGAUGUAAUUCACAUAUCAUAAAUAUCACCCUUUUAAUGUGGACAUGUUAUAUGCACAGUAGAAUAUUCACAGGGCUGUGUAACUACUCGAAUUCCAGAACAUUUUCCUUUUUCUUUGUUUCUCAUUCUCAUUCUGUCUCAUUCUGUCCCCCAAGGCUAGAGUGCAGUGAGCAGGUAUUGGUUUAACAAAGAAAGGGUCAAAGUUUUCUAGGCAGAGAGACUAGCAUGUGUCAAGACUGUAGAGUAAGAA
rnacentral:lncRNA from 1 species